UGGGGAAUUUUGGACAAUGGGCGAAAGCCUGAUCCAGCAAUGCCGCGUGUGUGAAGAAGGCCUUCGGGUUGUAAAGCACUUUUGUCCGGAAAGAAAUCCUUGGCUCUAAUACAGUCGGGGGAUGACGGUACCGGAAGAAUAAGCACCGGCUAACUACGUGCCAGCAGCCGCGGUAAUACGUAGGGUGCAAGCGUUAGUCGGAAUUACUGGGCGUAAAGCGUGCGCAGGCGGUUUGCUAAGACCGAUGUGAAAUCCCCGGGCUCAACCUGGGAACUGCAUUGGUGACUGGCAGGCUAGAGUAUGGCAGAGGGGGGUAGAAUUCCACGUGUAGCAGUGAAAUGCGUAGAGAUGUGGAGGAAUACCGAUGGCGAAGGCAGCCCCCUGGGCCAAUACUGACGCUCAUGCACGAAAGCGUGGGGAGCAAACAGGAUUAGAUACCCUGGUAGUCCACGCCCUAAACGAUGUCAACUAGUUGUUGGGGAUUCAUUUCCUUAGUAACGUAGCUAACGCGUGAAGUUGACCGCCUGGGGAGUACGGUCGCAAGAUUAAAACUUAAAUGAAUUGACGGGUCAUAGCUGUUUCCU
rnacentral:rRNA from 1 species